rnacentral:snRNA from 1 species
AUACUUACCUGGCAGGGGAGAUACCAUGAUCACGAAGGUGGUUUUCCCAGGGCGAGGCUUAUCCAUUGCACUCCGGAUGUGCUGACCCCUGCGAUUUCCCCAAAUGUGGGAAACUCGACUGCGUAAUUUGUAGUAGCGGGAGACUGCAUUUGCGCUUUCCCCUG